rnacentral:rRNA from 1 species
UACGUAGGGUGCAAGCGUUAAUCGGAAUUACUGGGCGUAAAGCGUGCGCAGGCGGUGAUGUAAGACAGUUGUGAAAUCCCCAGGCUCAACCUGGGAACUGCAUCCGAUACUGGAUGGCUUGAAUUCGGGAGAGGGAUGCAGAAUUCCAGGUGUAGCGGUGAAAUGCGUAGAUAUCUGGAGGAAUACCGGUGGCGAAGGCGGCAUCCUGGACCGACAUUGACGCUGAGGAGCGAAAGCCAGGGGAGCAAACGGG